GCUGGAGUUGCCAAGCCUGGUCAAAGGCGAAGGACUCAAGAUCCUUUCUCGUAGGAGUUCGCCGGUUCGAAUCCGGCCUCCAGCACCA
rnacentral:tRNA from 1 species